AGGGUUGUGGCUCAGUGGUAGAGUGCUUGCCUAGCAUGUAUGAGGCACUGGGUUCGAUUCUCAGCAGCACAU
rnacentral:tRNA from 1 species